AAGUGAGUGAAUACCCAGCUGUUGGCAUUCCCAGAUGUGGUCCAGCAAGUCCAUUUAAAGGACACUUGAGUACCAAGAGUAAUGCUUUUUGCAUUGACUCCUCCCGAAGUCUAACCAGCCAGUACCUGAUCAGAGAUCACAUGGUGUUUCAUUAUAACAAAAUCCUUUCAGCCAAAGCAGCCGUAGACUGUUCAGUGCCCAAAAGUAGGUUGACCAGCAUCAAACG